GCACGGGUGAGUAACGCGUAUACAAUCUGCCUCAUACUAGGGGAUAGCCCAGAGAAAUUUGGAUUAAUACCCUAUAGUAUCAUUUAGAGUCAUCUCUUAAUGAUUAAAGGUUACGGUAUGAGAUGAGUAUGCGUUCUAUUAGUUAGUAGGUGAGGUAACGGCUCACCUAGACCACGAUAGAUAGGGGCCCUGAGAGGGGGAUCCCCCACACUGGUACUGAGACACGGACCAGACUCCUACGGGAGGCAGCAGUGAGGAAUAUUAGACAAUGGGCGAAAGCCUGAUCUAGCCAUGCCGCGUGCAGGAUGACGGCCCUAUGGGUUGUAAACUGCUUUUAUACAGGAAGAAAAACUCUACGUGUAGAGUCUUGACGGUAUUGUAUGA
rnacentral:rRNA from 1 species